rnacentral:tRNA from 1 species
CCCCAGGUGGCUCAGUGGUAAAGAACCUGCCUGCCACUGCAGGAGAUUCGGGUUCGAUCCCUGCUCUGGGAA